UACGGGGGGGGCAAGCGUUGUUCGGAAUUACUGGGCGUAAAGGGCUUGUAGGCGGCCAACUAAGUCAUACGUGAAAUCCCUCGGCUUAACCGGGGAACUGCGUCUGAUACUGGAUGGCUUGAGAUUGGGAGAGGGAUGCGGAAUUCCAGGUGUAGCGGUGAAAUGCGUAGAGAUCUGGAGGAACACCGAUGGCGAAGGCAGCCUUCUGGACAGUUACUGACGCUGAGACGCGAAAGCGUGGGGAGCGAACAGG
rnacentral:rRNA from 1 species